rnacentral:rRNA from 1 species
GACGAACCGUGCGAACGUUGUUCGGAAUCACUGGGUUUAAAGAGCGUGUAGGCGGUUAGGUAGGUCCGUUGUGAAAACUCGAGGCUCAACCUCGAGACGCCGAUGGAAACCAUCUAACUAGAGUCCGGAAGAGGAGAGUGGAAUUCCUGGUGUAGCGGUGAAAUGCGCAGAUAUCAGGAAGAACACCCGUGGCUAAGGCGGCUCACUGGCUCAUUACUGACGCUCAGGCGCGACAGCGUGGGGAUCAAACAGG